AUACGUAGGUGACAAGCGUUAUCCGGAAUGAUUGGGCGUAAAGGGCGCGUAGGCGGCCCGGUAAGUCUGGAGUGAAAGUCCUGCUUUUAAGGUGGGAAUUGCUUUGGAUACUGUCGGGCUUGAGUGCAGGAGAGGUAAGUGGAAUUCCCAGUGUAGCGGUGAAAUGCGUAGAGAUUGGGAGGAACACCAGUGGCGAAGGCGACUUACUGGACUGUAACUGACGCUGAGGCGCGAAAGUGUGGGGAGCAAACAGGAUUAGAUACCCUGGUAGUCCACACUGUAAACGAUGGAUGCUAGGUGUAGGGGGUAUCGACCCCUUCUGUGCCGCAGUUAACACAAUAAGCAUUCCGCCUGGGGAGUACGGCCGCAAGGUUGAAACUCAAAUGAAUUGGCGGGG
rnacentral:rRNA from 1 species